AUUGAACGCUGGCGGCAGGCCUAACACAUGCAAGUCGAACGCGUGGCGGACGGGUGAGUAAUGUCUGGGAAACUGCCUGAUGGAUGGGGAUAAAUACGGGAAACGGUCGCUAAUACCGCCUACCAGCACAUGUGCCCAGCUGGGAGUCGCUAGUUGGUGGGGUAACGGCGCACCAAGGCGAAGCUCCCUAGCUGGUCUGAGAGGAUGACCAGACACACGGUACGUGAGACACGGCCCAGACGCCUACGGGAGGCAGCAGUGGGGAACAUUGCACAAUGGGCACAAGCCUGAUGGAGCCAUGCCGCGUGUAGGAAGAAGGCCUUCGGGUUUGAAAGGACUUUCAGCGGGGAGGCGUUACCCGCAGAAGAAGCACCGGCUAACUCCGUGCCAGCAGCCGCGGUAAUUC
rnacentral:rRNA from 1 species